rnacentral:rRNA from 1 species
UACGUAGGGCGCGAGCGUUGUCCGGAAUUAUUGGGCGUAAAGAGCUCGUAGGCGGCUUGUCACGUCGGGUGUGAAAGACCGGGGCUUAACUCCGGUUCUGCAUUCGAUACGGGCUAGCUAGAGUGUGGUAGGGGAGAUCGGAAUUCCUGGUGUAGCGGUGAAAUGCGCAGAUAUCAGGAAGAACACCUAUGGCGAAGGCAGCACUCUGGGACGGUACUGACGCUGAGACGCGAAAGCGUGGGGAGCGAACAGG